AGAGAAGUUAGACUUGGGAUAAAAAUCACUAAACUUGGCUUCUUCUCCCAGGGGCACAGUCUGAAUCUGCACAGAGCAGGAUGCUGAGUGGAAUUGGGGGCUUUGUGCUGGGCCUACUGUUCCUUGGGGUGGGGCUAUUCAUCUACUUCAGGAAUCAGAAAGGACAUUCUGGACUUCAGCCAACAGGACUCCUGAGCUGAAGUGAAGACGACACCCGAGGAGAAACCUUCUGUUCCAGCAUAUUUGCAGCAUGAAAAGUUUUCCUGCUUGGCUCUUAUGCUCACACAAAGAGAGUCUUUCUCAGGACCUGGUUUGCUCCUGGUUCGGUGACCCUACAAAAAAUGUCCUCCCUGGUGGCCUUCCUCAGCCUCUGCCCUUGGCCUAGAAGUCCCAGUGCUGACUGCAGUACCUGAUCUUCAUUCUUUCCCAGUCCCCAUUGUUUUCAACCCUUAACUGCCCCCUGUGCAUCUGAACUCAUCUUUUGCACACAUUACUUUAUUAAAUUUUUCUCGAAUACAUAUUGAGUGAAAA